rnacentral:rRNA from 1 species
GAUGAACGCUGGCGGUGUGCCUAAUACAUGCAAGUCGAGCGAACAGACGAGGAGCUUACUCCUCUGACGUUAGCGGCGGACGGGUGAGUAACACGUGGAUAACCUACCUAUAAGACUGGGAUAACUUCGGGAAACCGGAGCUAAUACCGGAUAACAUGUUGAACCGCAUGGUUCAACAGUGGAAGACGGUCUUGCUGUCACUUAUAGAUGGAUCCGCGUCGCAUUAGCUAGUUGGUAAGGUAACGGCUUACCAAGGCAACGAUGCGUAGCCGACCUGAGAGGGUGAUCGGCCACACUGGAACUGAGACACGGUCCAGACUCCUACGGGAGGCAGCAGUAGGGAAUCCUCCGCAAUGGGCGAAAGCCUGACGGAGCAACGCCGCGUGAGUGAAGAAGGUCUUCGGAUCGUAAAACUCUGUUAUUAGGGAAGAACAAAUGUGUAAGUAACUAUGCACGUCUUGACGGUACCUAAUCAGAAAGCCACGGCUAACUACGUG